GAUAUAUUACUUCAUAUUAAGAAUUUUCAAAUUAAGCAGUUAACAACAAAAACUUCUCAAAACCAAAUGGAGAAAAGCUAAUACCUACCAAGCAAAACAAAAUCAUCAUCAUCCAAAACUUGGACAUCUCUUUCCCCUAUAAAGUUUUCCCGUCCGAUUUCUUUGACAAUCUUCACAAACGCCUCUCUCUUUGCCCUUGUAAGUGGAACAUAUGGAAGGCGGAAGACAGGCCUCACAACUCCGAGUUGAGCUAAAGCUGUAUUUAGAGCAAUGGGGUUUGGUUCAUGAAACAACCAUUCAACUAAUGGCAUUAGCUUUAAGUUCAGAGCAGGGUUCUUUCCUCCAAACAUUAGUUCAUGCAUCAGACCAGGAACCAAGUUGCUGGUGACAGAAAUAACUCCUGCAGCGCCAUGAUCCCACCUUGAGUCAUGGCAUUCAUCAUCAUUCCCACUCCACACGACCAAACCAUUACUUGUAUACUGCUUCACUCUAUCAUUUCCAACACACUCUUUGACACCGGCAAGAUUGGGGCUCUCUGCUAAUGUCUGAAUUACACGUGGAGGAAUGUCUUGACCAGUUCGUGAUGGUACGUUAUAAAUGAUAGUAGGGCCCAUAGGGAGCACACUUUCAAAGUGAGAAAUCAUACCCUCUAUGGAGGUCUUCCCAUAGUAGGGAUUAAUGUGAAGAGCUGCAUGCAUACCAACAGCAAAUCCUUGUUCUGUCGCAUGGAUUGCUUCCCUCGUGGAGUUACUUCCUGUGUUCCCAAUGACUUUGAUUGAUCCUCCAAAACAGUUCACUGUGUGACCAAUGAGCAUGAUGUGUUCAUCCCAGCUCAUCAAUUGACCUUCACCUGUAGUGCCACCAACAAUCACACCCUCAGCACCAUUUUCAAUUUGCAAAUUUACCAAGGCAUCAUAUGCCUCAAGAUCGAAUCUUCCAUCUGGUAGAUAUGGGGUUUUGAUUGCAGUAAUCAAUCGAAGUGCUUUUAUAUCCUCGGCAAACGUCCUAUUUUUAACUUCAUAACUACGCAUUGGGAGGUGGAAACUUGGAAUUACAGCUGCUCUCGGUGACCUCCAUACUGCAGUUCUCCUCUUUGAUCCGGCAGCUUCAACGCCGAAAUGACAACGACCUAUAACUGAUGAUGACAUUUUUCCCACUAUUAGGGUUCGUACAGCUCAGAGAAAUUCGCAGAACAAAACUCAACAGUUGUAAUCCUAUCCUUCUGGGCUUGAAAUCAGCUAAGGUUAAA
rnacentral:misc_RNA from 1 species